CUCAUAUAAGGGCUGGCCACCGAAGGGAGAGCAUCUCCUGCACCUAAGCUGCUUGCUAUGGAGGAGUGCUGCACAGUCACAGAGCCCCUUCAUUACUUGGGACUUAACGGCUCCAUUUCAGACGCAAGACUUCCCCAGGCCUGACUGACUCAUCUCCGAGCGGGCUGAAAAGCAGUGUUAUUUUUUUCUGCAAGUCAACCGUGUUACCUUACAUGCCAGCGCACUCUUGAUCAAAGAGCUACAUCCCACUCCUGCAGGAAGGCAGAUUUACUGGCUUGGUGGUUCCUUCACAUUUCUAGCUGCGGUAAUCCUCUUCACAGGACGCUCCAGUGCUUCUGUGCUGACAUCAUCUGUCAUGCUGUCCUGGGUGGGAGGUGUCGGCUCUGCUGGUGCCUUGAGGGCGUUCCAUAAAGAGCAAUGGAAGGAAAGCUGGAAAAAACCUCAGGAAACUUCCAACUGACAGACAAGAGGGCUGAUACGAUACGGGGCAUGCAGAUAACCUUAAAGAACAGCUUGAAGUAGUAAAGUGCUGCUUAAGGAUGCAGUUUGUGUCAACAAGUCACUGAUAAUGACUUCAGAAGAAUGAAUAGAUUUUAGCCCACAGCAGAGAGAACACACCAACGUUGUGAAGCACUACUGAGUGACACUGGAGUGUCUACGCAGACAUUCAGCAUCUGCAGAGAGCACAGUUUAGCCAGGCAAAGGCUGCUGCACCUAUUUGGAGUUACUGUGGGUUAGCUUACUCUGCAGCUGUAUUUGUUGUUCUGUGAUGCAGCUCAGUAUUAAUGGACAGAAGCUUCUUUCAGCAAAAUUCCCUUUUGGCUCAUUGGAAUUAACACGUGCACGCUGCCAGGAGCCCCUCGUCUGCAGCCUCCACGUUCAGCACUUGGGCUGAUGGUGCUGUCAUGCUUGGAUGGAAUGGCUGUGGCCUUGGUUUUAUUUUUCCUAAUUCAUCAUCAGCAUCAGACAACAUGUGGAGGUUCAGUAGGUAACACGGCUGUCCUCAACCAUUUUUCUGCUCUGGAACAAGAAAUCCUCCAAAUACAGCCAAAUCCAGCAGUCUGUCAGCGGAUUGAUCCAAGUUUGAUCACACCAUUAAGGAUAUCCUGUCAUUUACAAAAAAAAAAGGUUUGAGAUUGGUUUGUUUCCUGCAGCUGGAAACCUUCAUUUCAUUACGCAAAUUAUUUCUCUGAAAGCUGCUAAGAAGGAUUGAGGUCUAUAAUUAGAAUAAUACCCCACAGGAUUACAUUCACAAAUGUAAUUAUAUAAUCAUUUAGAACUAAAUUGUGCCAUGAAACUACAGGGUUUUUCAAAGUGGUACUGGCAUUUCUGAAGGGUUGUUUUUAAGAUUUGCUCUGCUAGUAAAGCAGUUUCCAUGGGUCAAUUAGAAAGACUUCCAGUUCAACUGAGAGCCCCAUCCUGCUGCUUCCCCCAUCGACAACUUGGCACUAAUCGACAUCAGGGUUUACGUUCAGAUAUCUGCUGCCAUUCAGAACAAGGCAGUGGCAGUGCCAUCGGGCACAGCUGCUUAACUCUCAGUAUUUUGGGUGUGAUGGCGUAAGCUGGAGCAUGUCUGUUGAGAAUCUGCAGAGGAAGACUGCUUUUCCAGACACCACUUUGGUACUUGGGUGUGCAUGGUGCAUUGCUCAGGAGGAGGCGGUGGGCUGUGGGUGUGUUGGAAUGGUUCGCUCUUCAGGAGCCCUGUGCCGCAGCUCUGUGGCAAGAGCUGCCUUUGUGCCAUGGUGCUUUUAGAGGCAUCAGUGAGACGGGGGAGAUUCCUGGCUGUCUGAUGCCCAACUGGCUGCCCUGUUUUUCCCAGGAAGCGUUGCAGUGGUAUCAUCACGUGGUGCGGUUGUGCUGUGACUGUGCUCCUGGCAGCGGUGCUCAGGACAGUGUACGGUGCUUUCACAAUGCUGUGCAUGCACCGAGCUCUCCUCUGUAAUAGAACCUGUGUGAAUGCACUGGUGCAGUUUCUUGAUUCAAAGCUUUCACACUCAGUUCACGGCAGUACACUUACGCCUGAAAUGAUGAAAGGUAUCAUGAAAUAGAGCCGCUUUAAUGGCUGCUUUUCUCCUUAAGUUUUGCAAAGUCCUUUUUAAUAUCUUUAUGCUGUUGACAUGGCAUUGCCACAUCCUUUUUUUUUUACAUCAGUUUCCUCACUUGGAGUGCCUUGCCUUUUGCACAGACAAAACAGUACCAGAAAAUUUGCUUAACGUAGAGUACUGUGCUGGGACUCCCAAAGUAAGAAGCAGCACCUCGCCCUGCUCUAUUAGGAAUUCAU
ensembl:lncRNA